AAAACAAAGCUUUUAAAGCAUUUUAUUUACAAUAAAAAGAAUCUUAUGGAUGUUUUUA
rnacentral:tRNA from 1 species